rnacentral:misc_RNA from 1 species
UUUCCGUAGGUGAACCUGCGGAAGGAUCAUUCAUAAUAAAGUGUUUUAUGGCACUUUUUAAAAAUCCAUAUCCACCUUGUGUGCAAUGUUAGAUCUCGUCAAUCUUGGCGAGAUUUUUAUACAUCAACUCAUUCUUUAACUAUUUGUCUGAAAAAUAUUAUGAAUACUUAAUUCAAAAUACAACUUUCAACAACGGAUCUCUUGGCUCUCGCUCGAUGAAGAACGCAGC